rnacentral:rRNA from 1 species
GGAGUUUGGGCCGUGUCUCAGUCCCAAUGUGGCCGGUCAUCCUCUCAGAUCGGCUACUGAUCGUCGUCUUGGUGGGCCGUUACCCCGCCAACUAACUAAUCAGACGCGGGUCCAUCUCACACCACCGGAGUUUUUACCCCUGUACCAUGCGGUACUGUGGUCUUAUGCGGUAUUAACAGUCGUUUCCAACUGUUAUCCCCCUGUGUGAGGCAGGUUACCCACGCGUUACUCACCCGUCCGCCACUGAAAGAAUUCCGAAGAAUUCUUUCCGUUCGACUUGCAUGUGUUAGGCACGCCGCCAGCGUUCAUC